CUCUGCCGCCUUCUUCUCACUUUCUUUGCCUUCAGUCUUUCCCAGCACCAGGGUCUUUUCCAAUGAGACGGCUUUCCGCAUCAGGUGGUCAAAGUAUUAUGACAUGUCAACAGCUACAAUCUGUAACGCGAUAGAGUGAAAAUAUCAGGGAGAAACCGGAAGGCAAGGAAGCGGAGGGGAGGGGCGCUGGGUGCUGGGGGCGGGGAAGGCCAGCGACAGUCUCCCAAGGGGACGUCUGAGCAGACGGCGGUGGGAGCCUGAGCCUGCGGAUGGGUGGGGAGUGCUGCAGGCAGAGUGUACAGCAGGAGCAAAGGCCUGAGGCAGGAGCGCAGGCACCCGUCUGUGGACCAGCCAGGAGGCUGGCGUGCUGGAGCAGAGGGAGGGAGGUGGGGCAGAGGCCCUAACAGGAGGCAGGCGGCGAUCAGGUGCCUGCCGGGCUGUGCUCUUGGAGUGAGAUGGAAAGCACCGGAGGAGUUCUGAGCACAGGAGGGACGUAGUCUGGUUUCUUGUUCAGAGUACCUCUUUGUCUGUUGGCAAAGAAUGGACAAAGAGAACAACGAGGAGGCAGGGCAGAAGCGGAGAGACCGCUGGGGAGGCUCCUGCAAUAAUUUAGGGCAGAGAGGGGAGUGGCAGCUUCCUAUGAGAAAGCCUUGCCAGGCAGUUAGGGUGUGAGGACAAGCGGGAAUGGGGUGGCAAAGCGAUGUCUGAGCCAGUGGAUCCUGGCCUAUAGGACUCUCAUGGGCCAGGGAGGAGCUGGAAAGGACGAAGAAUCCAUAUUCCCACUGGGUACCCAUAGACGGGAUAUACCUAACAUGUGUAUAUAUCUUUAUUUUAAUCUAUUGCAGAUGCUGGGGUCCUAGAAAUAAUGUUAAUUUAAAAAUGUUGCUGAUACGUUGUCUGUUUUGAAUGCAUUCUGUAGUGGAUCCUACCCGUUGUUCUGUUGGUGGUGUGGAUGGAUUGGGGGUGGGAGCCAACCCACUGCAGACACGGAGGUGGAUUUUGCAUGCAGACAGCCUGGUUUGCAGGUGGCUCUGCCACUGCAAGCCAUGACCCUGAGCAGGGUAUUUCACAUCUCUGAACCUCCAUGUAUCCAUCUGUGUAGUGGAGAUGACAGGACCUGCCCCGGGGCGGGGACUAUUGU
rnacentral:lncRNA from 1 species